rnacentral:rRNA from 1 species
UGGGGAAUAUUGCACAAUGGGCGGAAGCCUGAUGCAGCGACGCCGCGUGAGGGAUGACGGCCUUCGGGUUGUAAACCUCUUUCAGCAGGGACGAAGCGUGAGUGACGGUACCUGCAGAAGAAGCGCCGGCCAACUACGUGCCAGCAGCCGCGGUAAGACGUAGGGCGCGAGCGUUGUCCGGAUUUAUUGGGCGUAAAGAGCUCGUAGGCGGCUUGUCGCGUCGACUGUGAAAACCCGUGGCUCAACUGCGGGCCUGCAGUCGAUACGGGCAGGCUAGAGUUCGGUAGGGGAGACUGGAAUUCCUGGUGUAGCGGUGAAAUGCGCAGAUAUCAGGAGGAACACCGGUGGCGAAGGCGGGUCUCUGGGCCGAUACUGACGCUGAGGAGCGAAAGCGUGGGGAGCGAACAGGAUUAGAUACCCCCGUAGUCC